CCCGGCCCCGCCGGCGGACCCGCGAGAGGCGGGCGGGGGCGCGCCUGUACGCCGGGGCCGGGGGCCGGCGGGGGAGGUUCCCGCGAGGUGGUUCUCGGGCUCCUCCUCGGCGCCUCAGGUUUCCUCUCUCCGCCAGCCGGCUGCUGGCUGCGGCGCCGCCUCUCUUUACUCCCUCCUCCCUCCUCCCGCCGCCCCUCUUCCCCGCGGUUGGGCCCACUCUGCGGCCUCUGCCCGCCUCGCCCUCGCCCGGGCCUCCUCCCGCUUUCUCUCUCCGCUUCCCCUGGAGCCUCCGAGGAGUCCAAAGCCGCGGGGCGCCCGGGAAGAUGGCGGCGGCGGCGGGAGACGGCGGCGGGGAGGGGGGCGCGGGCCUGGGCAGCGCGGCGGGGCCGGGGCCGGGGCCGGGGCCCGGACUGCGCGGGCAGGGCCCCUCAGCCGAAGCGCACGAGGGCGCCCCGGACCCGGCGCCCGCCGCGCUCCCCCCUGAGGAGGUCGCCGCACGGCUGCAGCGGAUGCGGCGGGAGCUGAGCAACCGCAGGAAAAUCCUGGUGAAAAACCUGCCCCAGGACAGUAACUGCCAGGAAGUUCAUGAUUUGUUGAAAGACUAUGACUUAAAGUAUUGUUAUGUGGACAGAAAUAAACGAACAGCUUUUGUUACCUUAUUGAAUGGGGAACAAGCCCAGAAUGCAAUUCAGAUGUUUCAUCAAUAUUCUUUUAGAGGAAAAGACUUAAUAGUCCAGCUUCAGCCAACAGAUGCUUUGCUGUGUAUUACCAACCUGCCCAUUUCUUUUACAUUAGAAGAGUUUGAAGAACUUGUUCGUGCUUAUGGAAAUAUUGAGAGAUGUUUUCUGGUCUAUAGCGAAGUUACUGGCCAUUCCAAAGGCUAUGGAUUUGUGGAAUACAUGAAAAAGGACUUUGCUGCAAAGGCUAGAUUGGAGCUAUUGGGUAAACAGUUGGGAGCAUCAGCACUCUUUGCACAAUGGAUGGAUGUUAAUCUAUUGGCUUCAGAGCUCAUUCAUUCUAAGUGCCUUUGUAUUGAUAAACUCCCCAGUGACUACAGGGAUUCAGAAGAGCUGUUGCACAUUUUUUCCAGUGUCCAUAAACCUGUAUUUUGCCAGCUUGCACAGGAUGAAGGUAAUUACGUUGGUGGCUUUGCAGUGGUCGAAUAUAGCACUGCGGAGCAUGCUGAAGAGGUCCAGCAGGCAGCAGAUGGUAUGACCAUCAAGGGCAGCAAAGUCCAGGUUUCCUUCUGUGCCCCCGGAGCGCCAGGGCGAAGUACAUUAGCAGCAUUGAUAGCAGCUCAACGUGUGAUGCACAGUAAUCAAAAGGGCUUACUUCCAGAGCCAAAUCCAGUACAAAUUAUGAAAAGUUUAAACAACCCUGCCAUGUUGCAAGUUCUUCUACAGCCCCAGUUAUGUGGACGAGCUGUUAAACCAGCCGUUCUUGGGACACCUCACAGCUUGCCACAUCUGAUGAAUCCAUCCAUCUCUCCUGCAUUUUUACAUUUGAAUAAAGCACAUCAGAGCUCAGUUAUGGGUAAUACUUCUAAUUUAUUCCUUCAGAAUCUUUCUCAUAUACCACUGGCACAACAACAAUUAAUGAAGUUUGAGAAUAUUCAUACUAAUAAUAAACCCGGCUUACUUGGAGAGCCCCCGGCUGUGGUAUUUCAGACUGCACUAGGGAUAGGGUCAGUGCUUCCAUUGAAAAAGGAGCUGGGACAUCAUCAUGGAGAAGCACAUAAAACAUCUAGCCUGAUUCCAACCCAAACAACGAUAACAGCUGGAAUGGGCAUGUUACCAUUCUUUCCAAAUCAGCACAUUGCUGGACAUGCUGGGCCAGGGCACAGUAAUACUCAGGAGAAACAGCCAGCCACGGUGGGAAUGGCAGAAGGAAAUUUCUCAGGGUCGCAGCCUUAUCUUCAGAGCUUUCCAAACCUUGCUGCUGGAAGCUUGCUGGCGGGACACCAUAAGCAGCAGCAAAGCCAGCCAAAAGGCACAGAGAUAAGUUCAGGGGCUGCCUCUAAGAAUCAGACUUCACUCUUGGGAGAACCACCAAAAGAAAUUCGGCUCAGUAAAAAUCCAUACUUGAAUUUGGCAAGUGUGUUACCUAGUGUGUGCUUAUCAUCCCCUGCAAGUAAAACCACUCUUCAUAAGACUGGAAUUGCAAGCAGCAUUCUGGAUGCAAUCUCUCAGGGAAAUGAAUCACAACACACAUUGGAAAAGUGCAUUGCUUAUUCUCCACCUUUUGGUGAUUACGCACAGGUCUGAAAUCUAAAAGCUGGACUUGAAGCUAUAAGAAAGGGACAUUAGGGGCUUGAUUCAGACCUCAGGAGAACUAGUGCAGUCCAAUUUUGGUUCUCCAUAUACCUGACUCCACUGAAGAGACAAGACUUAGAAAAGGUGAAGUGGAGCUGAAGGUGUCAUCUUUAAGAAAUGAAAAGCGAGGCUCAUCAUAUCUCAUCUCUGCCCCAGAAGGUGGUUCAGUGGAAUGUGUUGACCAGCAUUCUCAGGGCACAGGAGCAUAUUACAUGGAAACUUACUUAAAAAAGAAGCGAGUGUACUGAGUUAAGCUCUCUCCUAAUAACCCCCUAAGGUUCUCUGCAGUAUCUCUGCUGUUCAUCGCUGCCUUAACUUCAUUCAAACUAGCCAUAUCCUUUAAAUACGGGUUUAUAAUUUCCCAGAAGGAACUGUGUUGUGCAGCAGGCAGAAAUGCCAAAUAAAAAAUAGCAAUAAGAAAAGACAUCAAUUGAGGACAUUUUCCACUAGAGUCAGAUGCAUCUUAAUCAGUGUGCUAACUUACAAUCCAUUGGAGAAACUAACAAUGUUCCACUAUUCCUUGUUUGAGGACUGGGAAUAAUUCUGACACCAUCUAUAAAAGUUUGAAGCAAUAAAUGGGAAGCAGUGUUGUUUCCCGAGCCUUAGAAGAAUGAGUUUCUUACAAGCCAAUGUGCAUUUCAAUUUACUUUCCCUAGAAGUAAUUGCAUUUUUACAUUUUUAAGACUUUUCCUAGAACUACAAGGGUGCAAGUACCAAAUGUGCUGAUGGUAAUAUUAUAAAGAUGCUCUACAUGCAUCUUUACAUCUUUAAUUGUACUCAAUUACACCCACACCAGCCACGCAAAAUUAAACCCGGUAAGAGAGUGACAGUGAUGUCAAAGGUAUCCAGUACUACCGAUGCUUUAAGAUGUUGUUUACCAUUUAUACCUUCUGUGAAAAAUAGAAGGUAUUUUAAGAAAAGUAGCUUUGGCGAUCCAAUAAAGGGGUUGGCACACUACAGCCUCGGGCCACAUUUGGUCUACCACCCGCUUUUGUGCUGCCUGCAAGCUAAGACUAAUGUUUACAUUUUUAAGUGGUUGGAGAAAAAAGAAAAUUUAUGACAUGAAAUUUAUAUGAAUUUGAGAUUUCAGUAUCCAUAUAUAAAAUUUUAUUGGGACGUUGCCAUGCUCAUUCAUUUACAUGUUGUCUGUGGCACUCCUAUGCUACAAUGGCAGAACUGAUUAGCUUCAACAGACUGUAUGGCCUGCAAAGACCAUAUGGCCUAAAAUUUUGACUAUCUGGCCAUUUAUACACAGUGUUUGCUGAUCCCUGAUCUAAUAGCACUAAUUCUAAUAGCAACUAUUCCUUUUAAUUCACCUAAAGACAGACCUUUAGCCUUUGAGACAGACUUGUAGGUGGAAAGGACCAUGGGUUUCUGUGCUCAUUUCAUACCAUAUACUAGUAAUGAUCUAAUGACGGGCCUAUUUUGAUCACUAAAUGCCCUAUUUCCACAAUAUAGUAAAGCAGUCAAUACUGCACUUGCUGAUGGAGUCUUAAGGAGUCACAGUAUUUAUAACCACUCUGAGCUAAUAAGCUAUACCUCACUCUCUGCUCUCUCUCUCACUCUUUGAUAGUGUAUUAGGAUGAAAAAUCAGUUAUUUAACACAAUUUACUUGUGAAAGAAGUUUUAUCUUUACGGAAUAUGACUUUUGACAUCACCAUUUCUUGAAGACCUUGGUAUUAAAUGCAUGAGAAACCUUUUGCCAUCUAGAAAUUUCUAAGUUUGUUUAUUGUUGUAAGACUGUAAUUAAUUGAUAGGGAAUUUGGGAUCUCUAUCCCGCGCUUUUUGAAAUCAGAUCAUUAAAUAUCUUGUCACUUUGGGGACUUGUUAUUUUUAACUAUGAUGUGGAUAUCCUGUUUUAAUUAUGAAGUCUAGAAUUGGUACAUAUGUUGUAUGCUUUGUAAAGAAUUUCAUUUGGUCUAAUUUAUUGCAUAUAGUAGCUUCUGUUGGAAAAUGACAGCUACAAAGUUUAAGGUAAUUUCUAAGUAUACUACCUAUAAAUAACUGAUAAAAAUUAGGCAUCAUCCAGUUAUAUAGCAGAUGACUAAUGGGUUUUUCACACCCUGCACUUCUCCUUCCUAUUUUCCUGUUGCAUUCAGCCUCUUCAGUGCUUAGUCACACCUCCACUAUGGUGCAAACAGAAGGAAGGAAAGAUGGUGAAUUUUGCAUCAUCAGAGCUGCAAAGUGAAAGCAGGAAGAGGUUGAAGGAAGUAAAACAAAGGUGUCUGGACUAUGGCACAGUGGACAUGCCAUCCAUACUGGCCUGCGUCCCAUUAUCACUGGGCACAAUAAUGAAGUGCAAAUCAAGUGGUGUUAGUAAUAAGGACCAUAACCCACCCCCUCCUCCCCCCAAAACUAUACUGUUAUUUUUCUAUGUUAGCAAAUUGUUUGAAAUGCUUUGAAAAUGAAAUCUUAAUAUUAAAAGGCAUAUGCAUGUAAA